CCUACGGGGGGCUGCAGUGAGGAAUAUUGGUCAAUGGGCGCUAGCCUGAACCAGCCAAGUAGCGUGAAGGAUGACUGCCCUAUGGGUUGUAAACUUCUUUUAUAUGGGAAUAAAGUGCAGUAUGUAUACUGCUUUGCAUGUACCUUAUGAAUAAGGAUCGGCUAACUCCGUGCCAGCAGCCGCGGUAAUACGGAGGAUUCGAGCGUUAUCCGGAUUUAUUGGGUUUAAGGGGAGCGUAGGCGGGUUGUUAAGUCAGUUGUGAAAGUUUGCGGCUCAACCGUAAAAUUGCAGUUGAUACUGGCAGCCUUGAGUACAGUAGAGGUAGGCGGAAUUCGUGGUGUAGCGGUGAAAUGCUUAGAUAUCACGAAGAACUCCGAUUGCGAAGGCAGCCUGCUGGACUGUAACUGACGCUGAUGCUCGAAAGUGUGGGUAUCAAACAGGAUUAGAUACCCUGGUAGUC
rnacentral:rRNA from 1 species